ACACUCCUACGGGUGGCAGCAGUGGGGAAUAUUGCACAAUGGGCGCAAGCCUGAUGCAGCCAUGCCGCGUGUAUGAAGAAGGCCUUCGGGUUGUAAAGUACUUUCAGCGGGGAGGAAGGCGAUAAGGUUAAUAACCUUGUUGAUUGACGUUACCCGCAGAAGAAGCACCGGCUAACUCCGUGCCAGCAGCCGCGGUAAUACGGAGGGUGCAAGCGUUAAUCGGAAUUACUGGGCGUAAAGCGCACGCAGGCGGUCUGUCAAGUCGGAUGUGAAAUCCCCGGGCUCAACCUGGGAACUGCAUUCGAAACUGGCAGGCUAGAGUCUUGUAGAGGGGGGUAGAAUUCCAGGUGUAGCGGUGAAAUGCGUAGAGAUCUGGAGGAAUACCGGUGGCGAAGGCGGCCCCCUGGACAAAGACUGACGCUCAGGUGCGAAAGCGUGGGGAGCAAACAGGAUUAGAUACCCCAGUAGUCCCAUG
rnacentral:rRNA from 1 species